GUGGUUUAAGGCGUGAAUGAAUGAAGGAGCAAGCAGUAAGCCCCGACAGCAAGGCCACCACAGCCCUCGCCCCACAGGGACGCCUGAGCAAGGACCCAAGCAGGGGACAAGCAGGCUCACCCCGCCCUUGCGGGGCUGACCACGAGGCCCCGUCCGGUGGAACAUGCCAUGACGCUUCAGAAGGCUCAUGUAGCUGGCGCCGUAUGGGACAGCGGGGGAGAGAGAAAAUGCACAGCCCAGGGAAUGUGGAGACAGGCCCAGCGCCAGGCAUGGGGGCCGGAAGGAGCAGCCGGGGAGCAGAGGGCAGGGCCUGGAGUCCUGCCUUGCAGAUCUGA
ensembl:lincRNA